UCCUCCUCCGGGGCUGGCGGCUCGGGGCGGCCCGGGCUCCUGGCUACGCGUCCCCGCCGGUUCCGGGAGCCCGCGCGUCUCAGGGUGACUCGCUCAGCCCCACCGCUCAGAGCGGAACCCUUCCCACUGCCACCCUGUGCGUGACUGUGCUCCACUUCUGCCCCAUGGCUUCCAGAACGUGUGAGGAGGAAGGCGCUUCGAUGUCCGAAGCUGACGGGCGCAGGGCGCUGGCAGAUCUCUGAACACGCAGGUGUGGAAGAAGGCGGAGUGACGCGGAAAACCCGUUAAGCCUGUCCCCAGCGUCCCGCGUCCUCCUUUCCCUUCUCUUUGCUCUUCCCUAGCUUUUCCCGCUUUUCCCCCUUUCCCAUUACGAGCCAGAUGUGUCGAGCCUGGUGUGCCGUACAAGUCUAGGGAACUUCAAAGGAGACCCUCUUGCCCAAAAUCCUCAUUUUGCAAAAGUGGAAACCGAAGCCCUGUGCCCCAGCGCUGUCCGUGCCCGAGUUUUUUUUUUUUUUUUUUUUUUUUUUUGCACCCGCCUUUGCCUCACAACAUUUCCCCUUGUCUGAUCACUCCUGGGAUCGCCUGGGCCGCAUGCCGCCUAACCCGCUUCCAUCUAAGACUGGUUUGGGCUCUUCACACUUUUCACUUUGUGUCUUCAGGACCAUUCUGUCUAAGUUCCAUCACUGAGCUUGGCUAUCAGCGAAAACCAUUGCUGACUCCAAGCGAAAUGCUGUGUUUUCCUCCUGGUGGGUAGGGCGGCAUCCCGAUUUGGGAUCCCGGUGCGUAGGAAAUGCACACCGGGCCAGGGUUCCUGAGGAAGGUAAACACAGGGUGGCCUCCAAGACACGGUUACAUCUUUGUGUCUCUGUUCAAUUCUAGUAGCUGUCAGAAGUGCAGGCGCCAGGGGUCACCCAAGUAACCCCAAGAUCAGGAUUGCCCCCAAAUGCUCCGAUGCUGUGCAGAAGGGGCAGAAUGCCUGUAGCCUCAGAUGUGGAUGUCAAGUAAAGCCCCGUUGUGGGGCAGUGCAGGAUACUCAGAGCAAAUACAUCUUUCUAAGCCCAGGUACACUUUUUUAGAGCAGAGUCGAAGUUUAAACAUAUCACUUUCUGCCCGAGCCACUGUCUGCCAGGUUACCUCUCAAACCUCUCAAACCUCUCACCCGUCAGUGCUUAGAGCCCCAAAGGAUUAAGUGAUGUCCAAUUUAUAUCGAGAGCCAGAAUUAAAACUCAGGUCCCCUGUGUCACUUCAUAUAUCCCAGUGCACUACCUCAGAAAAUUCUCAGGACAGAGAAGUCAGUGACGUGUAGGCCAGGCCACAGCCAUUUUAAGUCCUCCCUCAACACAGGAGGAAAGGCAAGAUAAUGUAAUUUUUGUUUAAUGGUGGCUGCCACGUCAGUUAUAAUCAAGCUCAUGAAGCAGGAUGAAGAGAGGUUUGAAGUCUUGAUGACCCUGUCUGUCAUGAGACUUUGAAAAGGAAGCAAGAAUCUGAGGCUGUAGCUCACGGCAGAGUGAUUAGUUAACACGCCCAAGGCCCUAGGGUCCACCUCCAGCAUCAUGCACACAAAUCUAGCGUGUCAAUUUGAAGUAAGGCAUGGAUUAUAAAGGAGAGAUGACUGCAGAAAACCUUCAUGCUUACUGCUCCAACAUGAAGGGUCGGAGGACAAACUUGAAGUCAUCCUUCCUACUUUCCCUUCAAAUAUGUUUUCCAGUUAUUAUAUAAUGCAAGAUUUCCGUGCUUUUGUGUCUGGUCAUUGGGUUACAUAACAGACCAUACCUCACUGAGUUAGGCCAGUUUUUCCGCUUUGCUGUCAUCCUUCUGGAUUGCACAACUGAGAGAGUUGGGUAACAUAUUCAACAAUAAAUCAGGUAUUAUGAAAAAAGAUAUCAAAGGUGGGGGGAUGAUGGAUGUCAUCUGAGGUCCCUAGAUUCAAAGGUAACCUUUGGGGUUUCUGAAUGAUGUCCCUUUCUGAUCAUCGAUGGGUGUGAAAGGAGCAGGCCAGCCCUCUCCCCCUGGCCGGGAGUGGGGGGGGUGGGGGCAAGGAAAUGUUUUUUUCUAUUGGUGGGUUCUGAGACUUUUCCGUCUCUCACAGCCCCCCCACCUCCCCGUUUGCUUUUGUGACUAGCUGGCUCAGUGUGGAGAUUGGGAUUUAGACUUUGUCAUAUGCAUUGGCAUAUCCACCCCAAACCAGCUGUUGGGAACAAAUCACCACAGCUGUUCACAACCAGCUCUCAGCCCUCCCCUGUCCCUUGAGCAAGGUGGUUAUUCUGUGAGUAAAUGGUGUCAGGACCCAAACAGAAAGUGUUUCAGAGAAUCAACGGGAGCAAGGGACCCAGGAGGUGGGAGAGCUGGCACUGGUCUGGCCUUGCUGGCUGGCUUGGCCAGAGCUUGACCUAGCUAGGGCUGAAAUCCUGCCUGUUAUACUUGCUACCUGGGCACAAUUCUGCAGUUAGAGACUCAGUUGCAGCAGCUGCCAUGGCUGCUGUUCAUUGAGUAAUUACUGCCCCCUACAUUUUUAAAAUACCUCCAGGGAACAAGAUAAAAUACCAAGGCCCCCUUUACAGAACUGGAGUCUGUAUUCUGUCACUGUGUGAGAGUGUGCAUAGAAUCUGAAACUCUUACAGAACUGAGGUCACGUCCUCUUGUGCUCAUCGGGAGGUUGGAAGGACAGAGUUCUCCCAGUUCCAGGACACUGCAGAAGUAUGUGUACAGGUUGUAGGGAGUAGAGGUCACUACUGGCCACACACAAAACGUCCCAGUCAAAGCUGAACCCUGUAGCCUCCCGGAUGAACCGUGGCUGCUUUUCCUCAAAGCCUGGUGGGAAGGAACAUCUGUGUGGAUCGCUUCUGGGCAGAUGCCUCACAUCCUGUCGAGGUUAUGAAUCUGUUUUGUACAAACCGACUGAUUGUUUGAGUUCUUCAAAAUCGAGGCUUCUGAGUCAUUGAAGGUGGCUCUGCCCCUACCCCUCCUGAAGUGGUUGCUGACAUUGGUAUAAAUGGAACUGUCGAGAUUGGGCGUGUUCUCUCUGGCCUUGGAGCUGGGUCCUGCAGAGGGAGAGCAGGCUCGGAUGAUCUUGGCCCUUCCCAAAUGAGAUUAUGGGCAGUCCCCAAAAGCUUCAACAACUCACUCCUGAGCCCUGGGCGGGUCUCUGCUCACUCCCAAGCUCUUCUGAAUACCCCUUUAGGUGUGAAUUUGAAGAUCUGAUUUGACUAUCAGCCCCAAAAUGCUCAGGUCUGUUGUGGGGUUUUAGUCUUCAUCAUAUCCCUUUGUCAUAUGGUAAGCAGAACAGGAUCUACCUUACCUCUGGAGACAGAACACUCAAGGUCUUUCUAGCUGAAAAGGUUCAGAGAAAGCUCACAGUGUUUGUCAAUGUGGAAACUGGUUGGAGUACAUUGAUGGUCUCAUGGCCACAGUCAGGGAUGAACAAACAGCAUCUGGGUUUGCCCAUGUGCUUUUGGAAUAGGCUGCACUUCAUCACACAUUCAAUCUUUGGAAUAAACUGUCACCAUUUUAGUGUUAGUUGAAGUAUAUACAGCAACACACUGGGCUAGGAUAGAGCUCAGAGGCGGAGUGUUUGCCUGGCAUACAUGAGGCUGUCUGUGGGUUCAGUCACCAGCACCAAAAUAAUCAUAAUUUUAUUGAUAGAGAAAGAUGUUUGCUGGGCUGGCUUCCUGUCACUGUGCUAGCUGUGGUCCACCUGUGCCAGCCAGACUGUGGGUGGCUGCUUUAGGAGGGACUCACAUUUGGAAACCAAGCAUCUUCUAGUCAGUCAUCUCUCUUUGAGAGUUGAAAGUUAGGAUGUGGGUCUGGAGUGAUGACUCCACAGUUAAGAGCACAUACUGCUCUUGAGGAUCUGAGUUCAAUUCCCAACAACUCCAGCUCCAGGGGAUCAAAUGCUUCUGCUUCCGAGGGCACUUGCACUAGCAUGGGCAUACUCCCCCCACACGUACACACACACAUACACUAAAAGGGGAAUUAAAAUAUACCCCUGGCGGGGCCUCGUGAGGAAUAGAUGAGUUAAUCCCUGAAAAACAGUGGUGUUUAACACAUACAAAGUACUUAAAGAAAGUUAUUAUGUAUCGAUAUAUGAUAUCAACAUAUGAUAUCGAAAGUUAUUAUGUAUCGACAUAUGAUUACCUAACAAACCAAUCCAUACACAUGCAUAUCUGGGCUUGUUUUUGUUUCUGUGUGUUCUAAUCACCACAGUGAGAUUCUUGGUAGCUAGAUAGAUCAUGUCCAUGGAGCUUUGGCCAGGAAUUGGCUUCUUCUGAUCGACUGUCUCUGCAUCCUCUGUCCCUUCCCCACCUCUCUGUUUUGUCUGCUGCAGGUGCCCUGAGCUCAGUGCUCAUUGUAG